rnacentral:snoRNA from 1 species
UUUCUUUUCUUGUUGGGGACUGGGCAUGUGGUCAAGCUUCUUGUUAUGUACUGAGACAGAGAGAAAGGACUCUAGCUAGUGGCCUGACAGCUGGUGGCUUUCUGUCUAUUGGUUUUAUCUUCAAGCACUGAAACAUCA